rnacentral:rRNA from 1 species
ACACAUGCAAGUCGAACGAGGAUUUAACGGAAUGCGAUUCGUCAAAUGAAAUUAAAUCCGAGUGGCGGACGGGUGAGUAACGCGUGGAUAACCUGCCUCACACAGGGGGACAACAGCCGGAAACGGCUGCUAAUACCGCAUAACACAAGCAAUUCGCAUGAAUAGCUUGUCAAAGAUUUUAUCGGUGUGAGAUGGAUCCGCGUCUGAUUAGCCAGUUGGCGGGGUAACGGCCCACCAAAGCGACGAUCAGUAGCCGACCUGAGAGGGUGACCGGCCACAUUGGGACUGAGACACGGCCCAAACUCCUACGGGAGGCAGCAGUGGGGAAUAUUGCACAAUGGGCGCAAGCCUGAUGCAGCGACGCCGCGUGAAGGAUGAAGUAUUUCGGUAUGUAAACUUCUAUCAGCAGGGAAGAAAAUGACGGUACCUGACUAAGAAGCCCCGGCUAACUACGUGCCAGCAGCCGCGGUAAUACGUAGGGGGCAAGCGUUAUCCGGAUUUACUGGGUGUAAAGGGAGCGUAGAUGGCAUGGCAAGUCUGAAGUGAAAGCCCGGGGCUUAACCCCGGGACUGCUUUGGAAACUGUUAAGCUAGAGUGCAGGAGAGGUAAGCGGAAUUCCUAGUGUAGCGGUGAAAUGCGUAGAUAUUAGGAGGAACACCGGUGGCGAAGGCGGCUUACUGGACUGUAACUGACAUUGAGGCUCGAAAGCGUGGGGAGCAAACAGGAUUAGAUACCCUGGUAGUCCACGCCGUA